rnacentral:tRNA from 1 species
AUUUAAGUAGUUUAAAAAAAAUAUGGGAUUGUGGGACCCAAGAUGUAUCGUUUAUCUUAAAUA